UAACUCCAAUAACCAACGUGAUAUAUUUAUGACCAUAAGAUUCAAGUAUAUUAUACAUACUAGUGGGGUAGCUCGGGCAUACUAGUGGGGUAGCCCGGGCUUUGCCCGGGCCCAACGUAAAUAAAGGUAUAUUGUUAUCCUUCCGAUUCUGACUGUAACAUAUCAACUGGAAUGUUUUACCAUUUUUUAACAUGUCGUUUUGCACCAAUUUUCAACAGAAAAAAAAUACUAUAAGCACCCAAUUAGACAAUCCUUAUGUUGUGUAACGCUCCGCACCAUUCAGCCAUUAGUUAGCCAUAUAAAUUGAAAGUUGUUUUCACAGGUACUAAUCAGAUGUUGAUAAUGUUCCCAAGCAUUGUGCUGCAAGCUCAAUAUUUUCAGCCAAAGGACUCCCAAUUUUUCGAGGAAGGAAGGACAUCAGAAUCAAAAACGGAUCAUGCAAGAAAGUUAAAAACGACUUCAAAGCUGACUAACUAAUCAUAAUGAUCUACCUUGUUAUUGCUAUAAAACUUACCUGUGAGCUAGAGAAGAUGAAGUUUCCACUGGAUUGCAACUGGGUGGUCACCCAUUUCUUAACGGACAUGAUGAGG
rnacentral:lncRNA from 1 species